AAGAACUAGUUUAUACAGCUUCAAACAUUGGGUUGUCAACCCAAAAAUACCUUCUUUAA
rnacentral:tRNA from 1 species